rnacentral:rRNA from 1 species
CCUACGGGAGGCAGCAGUAGGGAAUCUUCCACAAUGGGCGAAAGCCUGAUGGAGCAACGCCGCGUGGGUGAAGAAGGUCUUCGGAUCGUAAAACUCUGUUGUUAGAGAAGUAAGUGCGUGAGAGUAACUGUUCACGUUUCGACGGUAUCUAACCAGAAAGCCACGGCUAACUACGUGCCAGCAGCCGCGGUAAUACGUAGGUGGCAAGCGUUAUCCGGAUUUAUUGGGCGUAAAGGGAACGCAGGCGGUCUUUUAAGUCUGAUGUGAAAGCCUUCGGCUUAACGGGAGUAGUGCAUUGGAAACUGGGAGACUUGAGUGCAGAAGAGGAGAGUGGAACUGCAUGUGUAGCGGUGAAAUGCGUAGAUAUAUGGAAGAACACCAGUGGCGAAAGCGGCUCUCUGGUCUGUAACUGACGCUGAGGUUCGAAAGCGUGGGUAGCAAACAGGAUUAGAUACCCGAGUAGUC